GUGUCCUUUCUGGGGCCCCCUCUCAAAGCCGCCCACCGCCCCACCCGGGCAGGAAGGGCCGCGUGCAGUGGCAGCGCUGGCCACCAGGGGCCAGCAGCGGCCAGAGACCGCGCAGGCCCCGCAGGCCGCGGGCACCGCAGCUCGGAAGGGGCGGAGCCUCACCUGGACUGCGAGGGGACGGCCGGGGGCUGGGGACCAUCUCUGAAUUCUGGGUCCCCCAGCCCUAGGUUUCUCUCAGUCCUCGCCGCCCCCAUCUGGGCCCGGUGGUACCAGGAGGACCUCAUUUAGACUGAGGGCCUCCCUCUGGCUCCAGCUCAGGCCCAUCGAGGCCCACGCCCCUCCGCUUCAAUGUCUGCGGGCACCGGAAGUACGCAGCAGACCCUCAGCUCUUACACUGGCGGCCAGGGAGCCCCGUGGCACGCGAAGACGGCAGCGCGGGGGUGGGGUGGAGUGCAGGCACGGCUGGCUCCGGAUCCUGAGAGACCACCGCCUGGCAGAUGUCUCUCGGACGCCCUCGCGCCACUGCCACGCCACGAGGCCCCUCACCCCGCCUGAUUGCCCUCCCUCCCUUCCUUCCCCUGGGGUCUCACUAAGUCCCUAAGUUGCCAGGCUGGGUUCCAACGCGCAGCCCUCCUGCCUCAGCCUCCCGGUUCUGGCUCCUGGCCCCCUCCCGGGCCGGGCGGCCGCACCUCGAGG